UACGGAGGAUGCGAGCGUUAUCCGGAUUUAUUGGGUUUAAAGGGUGCGUAGGCGGCUUUUUAAGUCAGCGGUGAAAUUUUGCAGCUUAACUGUAACAGUGCCGUUGAUACUGGGGAGCUAGGAUUUGGUUGCUGUGGGUGGAAUGUGUGGUGUAGCGGUGAAAUGCUUAGAGAUCACACAGAAUAUCGAUUGCGAAGGCAGCUCACAAAGCCAAGAUUGACGCUGAGGCACGAAAGCAUGGGGAGCAAACAGGAUUA
rnacentral:rRNA from 1 species